CGAAGUCUUUUUACCAUCAGCGAGGUAUAGAGUUCCUACGUUCCUAUUCAGUCGUAGGAACUUAAUACCGUGCUCUUGGAGGACUGUCGACC
rnacentral:pre_miRNA from 14 species